rnacentral:rRNA from 2 species
GAACGCUGGCGGCGUGCCUAAUACAUGCAAGUCGAGCGGAACCAGAGGAGCUUGCUCCUUCUGGUUUAGCGGCGGACGGGUGAGUAACACGUGGGCAACCUGCCCUGCAGAUCGGGAUAACUCCGGGAAACCGGUGCUAAUACCGAAUAGUUUGCGGCCUCUCCUGAGGCUGCACGGAAAGACGGUUUCGGCUGUCACUGCAGGAUGGGCCCGCGGCGCAUUAGCUAGUUGGUGGGGUAAUGGCCUACCAAGGCGACGAUGCGUAGCCGACCUGAGAAGGUGAUCGGCCACACUGGGACUGAGACACGGCCCAGACUCCUACGGGAGGCAGCAGUAGGGAAUCUUCCGCAAUGGACGAAAGUCUGACGGAGCAACGCCGCGUGAGUGACGAAGGUUUUCGGAUCAUAAAACUCUGUUGUGAGGGAAGAACAAGUACCAACUAACUACUGGUACCUUGACGGUACCUCACCAGAAAGCCACGGCUAACUACGUGCCAGCA